UACGGAGGGUGCGAGCGUUGUCCGGAAUCACUGGGCGUAAAGGGCGCGUAGGCGGCCCGGUAAGCGUGUGGUGAAAGCCCGGGGCUCAACCCCGGGUCGGCCGUGCGAACUGCUGGGCUGGAGCACUGUAGGGGCGGGUGGAAUUCCGGGUGUAGCGGUGGAAUGCGUAGAGAUCCGGAAGAACACCAGUGGCGAAGGCGGCCCGCUGGGCAGUGGCUGACGCUGAGGCGCGACAGCGUGGGGAGCAAACAGG
rnacentral:rRNA from 1 species